UACGAAGGGUGCAAACGUUGCUCGGAAUUAUUGGGCGUAAAGCGCACGUAGGCGGCUUAGCAAGUCGGAAGUGAAAUCCCCCGGCUUAACCUGGGAACUGCGUCUGAUACUGGGAGGCUUGAGUAUGGGAGAGGGAUGUAGAAUUCCAGGUGUAGCGGUGAAAUGCGUAGAUAUCUGGAGGAAUACCGGUGGCGAAGGCGGCAUCCUGGACCAUUACUGACGCUGAGGCGCGAAAGCUAGGGGAGCAAACGGG
rnacentral:rRNA from 1 species